rnacentral:rRNA from 1 species
GACGAACGCUGGCGGCGUGCUUAACACAUGCGAGUCGAACGGACAGACAGAGAGCUUGCUCUCUUGAAGUUAGUGGCGAACGGGUGAGUAACGCGUAAUCAACCUGCCCUUCAGAGGGGGAUAACAACGGGAAACCGUUGCUAAUACCGCGUACGAUUCAUGAACGGCAUCGUUUAUGAAUGAAAGGUGGCCUCUAUGUAUAAGCUAUCGCUGAAGGGGGGGAUUGCGUCUGAUUAGCUAGUUGGAGGGGUAACGGCCCACCAAGGCAAUGAUGAGUAGCCGGUCUGGGAGGAUGGACGGCCACAUUGGGACUGAGACACGGGCCACACUCCUACGGGAGGCAGCAGUGGGGAAUCUUCCGCAAUGGACGAAAGUCUGACGGAGCAACGCCGCGUGAGUGAUGAAGGUCUUCGGAUUGUAAAGCUCUGUUAAUCGGGACGAAAGAGUUCUGCGUGAAUAAUGCAGAAAAGUGACGGUACCGGAAUAGAAAGCCACGGCUAACUACGUGCCAGCCGCCGCAGUAA